rnacentral:tRNA from 1 species
GCGGGAAUAGCUCAGUGGUAGAGCACCUCCUUGCCAAGGAGGGGGUCGCGGGUCCGAAUCCCGUUUCCCGCU